UGGGGAAUAUUGGACAAUGGGCGAAAGCCUGAUCCAGCCAUGCCGCGUGUGUGAAGAAGGCCUUUUGGUUGUAAAGCACUUUAAGCGAGGAGGAGGCUACUGAGAUUAAUACUCUUGGAUAGUGGACGUUACUCGCAGAAUAAGCACCGGCUAACUCUGUGCCAGCAGCCGCGGUAAUACAGAGGGUGCGAGCGUUAAUCGGAUUUACUGGGCGUAAAGCGUGCGUAGGCGGCUUUUUAAGUCGGAUGUGAAAUCCCUGAGCUUAACUUAGGAAUUGCAUUCGAUACUGGGAAGCUAGAGUAUGGGAGAGGAUGGUAGAAUUCCAGGUGUAGCGGUGAAAUGCGUAGAGAUCUGGAGGAAUACCGAUGGCGAAGGCAGCCAUCUGGCCUAAUACUGACGCUGAGGUACGAAAGCAUGGGGAGCAAACAGGAUUAGAUACCCUGGUAGUCCACGCCGUAAACGAUGUCGACUAGCCGUUGGGAUCCUUGAGAUCUUAGUGGCGCAGCUAACGCAUUAAGUCGACCGCCUGGGGAGUACGGCCGCAAGGUUAA
rnacentral:rRNA from 1 species